rnacentral:rRNA from 1 species
AUGUUAGAUGGACUAAUCUCAGAAACCCAGAGCGCGUUUGUUCCGGGAAGAUUAAUCACAGACAAUGCCAUCAUAGCGUUCGAGUGUUUCCAUAAGAUCCAACAAAGCAAAAACCCGCACAAUACACACUGUGCGUAUAAGCUGGACCUCGCCAAAGCCUAUGACAGAGUGGAUUGGGACUUCCUAGAAGGAGCCUUGGAAAAGUUGGGUUUCCAUGCUCGUUGGAUAAACUGGAUUAUGAGAUGCGUUAAAUCUGUCUGGUACUUGGUGAAACUGAAUGGAGAAGUCUUGGAACAUUUUCUUCCUUCGAGAGGGCUCAGACAAGGUGAUCCCCUCAGCCCCUAUCUGUUUCUUUUUGUCGCUGAUGGGCUCGCCACAAUCUUCAACAGGGAGGUUCAAGGUGGAAGCAUUUCACCUGUCAAAGUGGCCCGCAACAGUCCUGAAAUAUCAAAUCUGUUAUUUGCCGACGACAGCUUGGUAUUUUUUAAGGCCUCUUGUGACCAAGUCAGGGUGGUUAAGAGGGCGCUUACCAUGUUCCAAAGAUGCACAUGCCAACUAUUGAGUAGCAGCAAAUGCUCUAUAUUAUUUAGUGAGCAUUGCCCCAACGCGUUACAGGAGGAAAUUAAGGAUAUCCUCGCUUGUGAAUCAUCUACGUUUGAAAGUAAGUACCCGGGACUCCCAACUCCAGAGGGUAGGAUGAAAGAUGCAAACUUCCAACCUAUUAUGGAUAGAUUCUUAAAGAGAUGCAAUGAUGGGUUGGGUCGCCACAUGUCUUUUGCGGCAAAAGAGGUUCAUGUCAAAUCAAUAGUUCAAGCCCUGCCUACUUUUACUAUGGGAGUUUUCAAAUUCUCAGUGGGUUUUUGUGACAAAUAUGAGCGUCUCAUCAGAGAGUUCUAG